UGAGGUUCCAAGAAGCCAUGGUUGAGUUUCCAAACUUCUCCUGACCACAGAAACCCUCAUGGGCACAACCUCUCCAGUAAUGGAUACUUGAGCAGAUUUCUGGACCACCAAUGAUUUCACAGGCUCUAGACACUUCCCCAGAAGGCUGUCCUAACUCCCAGAUCUCUCCCACUGUCCUGGAAGACGAGCUCCAAAGUCUACCCUUCUUCCUCUGAGCAUUUUGAAUGUAUCGUCUCUCCCUGCAGCCCCUACGAUGAGAGCAGUCAGACAGGACCCAAGGCCCUAAAAACCCCUCCCGGAAGUGAUUGUAUAACCUCAUCAGGCCUCUUCUCAAACUACACGGAAGUAUCGCGAUUUUGUUCUUGAAAGAAAAAGCCCCACAAGGAAUGAAGAAACUUCUAGGUUGAACCGGAGGAAGGACCUAUAGCUAAAACACAAAGCUGGAGAGAAAACUUACUGUGUGACGCAAGGUGCUUGUGGUGUGAGGUGAGAUGACCGUGACUUCAGUCUAAAUCUCAAUUGUGUAUAAAUGGCACCUCUCAGCACCUAAGUCCCCCUCCCCCCCAAACCCGGGCAUCUUUGAAGACUUGUUUUCCUCUUUUUCUUUCUCCCUCCCUCACUCUGUUCCCCCCCCCCUCAUGUUUUCACAUCAUCCUCAAGGCGCAUCAGGAGAGCUUUACCCUGUAGUCACGAACGUGUUUUUUGGUUUUACCACUGACUCAUAGUUCCACAUACUAUGCCUCAGAUUUUCCAUCUCUAAAAUGGGUAUGAUUCUACAGGAAAGUAAUGUUUGUGGAAACUUUAGGGACUUCAGGUGAUGAGUUUUGUAGAAGUAACACACACACACGCAUGCACGUACACACGCACACACAUGCACGUACACACACACAUGCACGUACACACAGACACACACACACGUAUCUGAUUAGCCUCCAGGCAGAGCGGGGGUAACAGAAUUUCCUCAGAACAAUCUAUGCACAGAACAUCUGGUUCCCUUACCUGUUGAUGCAGUUGUCCAUACGUCUGGUUGAACUAAGCCGCUCAAUAAACUAGCCUGCAGCCACCACAGGCUCACUCUUGAAACACAAAACGUUCUCUUUCAGGCAAGGAGUUGCCAACUGCGGGUGGUUAUAAGUACAGGAAGGGGAAUGGACAUGUUUCCUUUCUUGCUCUGUUCCCAGGACACAGGUCCUUGCUUGCCUUUCACCCCCAAGUGCGUUUUAUUCGCUGGAAGCCUGCCUUGAACACUGGCAGAGACUCAGAGACUCUCUUCCCAGUGAUCCCUAAACCAGUGUUUCUGGCCUGAUGCAGAGUUCGUAUUCCUAUAUGCUGUCCAUAAAGUGGAACCACCAUGGGGAAGGUCUUCCUGUGUCGCAGGGG